UCCAGGCCUCUGUGAGAGAAAAUGGUUUC
rnacentral:piRNA from 1 species